GCAUAUCAAUAAGCGGAGGAAAGAAACCAACAGGGAUUGCCCCAGUAACGGCGAGUGAAGCGGCAACAGCUCAAAUUUGAAAUCUGGCCCCCGUGGUCCGAGUUGUAAUUUGUAGAGGAUGCUUUUGGUGAGGUGCCUUCCGAGUUCCCUGGAACGGGACGCCACAGAGGGUGAGAGCCCCGUCUGGUCGGGACACCACAACCUCUGUAAAGCUCCUUCGACGAGUCGAGUAGUUUGGGAAUGCUGCUCUAAAUGGGAGGUAUAUGUCUUCUAAAGCUAAAUACCGGCCAGAGACCGAUAGCGCACAAGUAGAGUGAUCGAAAGAUGAAAAGCACUUUGAAAAGAGGGUUAAAUAGUACGUGAAAUUGUUGAAAGGGAAGCGUUUGUGACCAGACUUGGGCCCGGUUAAUCAUCCAGCGUUCUUCGCUGGUGCACUUGGCCGGCCCAGGCCAGCAUCAGUUUGCCGCGGGGGAUAAAGGCUUCGGGAACGUGGCUCCUCUGGAGUGUUAUAGCCCGUUGCGUAAUACCCUGCGGCGGACUGAGGUUCGCGCAUCUGCAAGGAUGCUGGCGUAAUGGUCAUCAACGACCCGUCUUGAAACACGGACCAAGGAGUCGUCUUCGUAUGCGAGUGUUCGGGUGUCAAACCCCUACGCGUAAUGAAAGUGAACGGAGGUGGGAGCCUCGGCGCACCAUCGACCGAUCCUGAUGUUUUCGGAUGGAUUUGAGUAAGAGCAUACGGGGCCGGACCCGAAAGAAGGUGAACUAUGCCUGUAUAGGGUGAAGCCAGAGGAAACUCUGGUGGAGGCUCGCAGCGGUUCUGACGUGCAAAUCGAUCGUCAAAUAUGGGCAUGGGGGCGAAAGACUAAUCGAACCUUCUAGUAGCUGGUUUCCGCCGAAGU
rnacentral:rRNA from 1 species